UCAACCAUCAAGCCUGGCUUGUCGUUGGACCCCUUUGCAGCUGAAAUAUGCAGCAGGUCCGAAAGAUAAUGACGGCGUCGUGUUUGACCCUAGAUGCAAUGAGCUUUUUUAUAGCACGCAUUGAAGUGGUUGACCGACCCGGUCUUUAACCAUCAUUUUCUAA
rnacentral:misc_RNA from 1 species